ACUAAGUACCCUAAUAAAACUUUAAAAUAAAUAGUACAAAUAUAGGUACUUAAUUAAAAAAAUAAGAAUCCUGAACAAAUUAUAAAUAAUUGUUAUACUAUUAAUAAAAUGAAACGUCAAUAUUAAAAAGUAUCCUAUGAUGCUCUCUUACAAAUCCACACUAAAUAAAACUUAUCAUAGAUAAUAUUGAUAAAAAUUAACAAUCUAACGUAAACAAAUAUUCAUUUCAUCACAAACCAUUGACUAAAAAAAACGCUUUUGAGUAAAGGUCUUUUAAACAAAAUGUUACAAGAAGUCAAGAAAAUCGAUAAUUUAUACUCACCAUCUAUAAGACAUAGCUAUAACACCUUACACUGCUUUCAACUUUCAACUCACAUAAAUAAUCAAAAAAUGAAUAACAAACAAUUUUUCUCUUAUAAGUUUUCACACUAGACAAAAAUUUCAGGAGCAAAUCCCUGACGCACACUCCA
rnacentral:lncRNA from 1 species